GAUGAACGCUGGCGGCGUGCCUAAUACAUGCAAGUCGAGCGAACGGACGAGGAGCUUGCUCCUCUGAGGUUAGCGGCGGACGGGUGAGUAACACGUGGAUAACCUACCUAUAAGACUGGGAUAACUUCGGGAAACCGGAGAUAAUACCGGAUAAUAUAUUGAACCGCAUGGUUCAAUAGUGAAAGACGGUUUUGCUGUCACUUAUAGCUGGAUCCGCGCUGCAUUAGCUGGGUGGUAAGGUAACGGCUUAGCAAUGCAACGAUGCCGAGCCGACCCGGAGGGGGUGAUCGGCCACACUGAAACUGGGACACGGUCCAGACUCCUAGGGAAGGCAGCAGAGGGAAAUUUUCCGCAAUGGGGGAAGCCUUGACGAGGCAACGCCGCUGGGGGAAGAAAGGCCUCCGGAUCGAAAACCCCUUUUAUUGGGAAGAAAAAAAGCUGUAUGAAACUAUGCACUUCUGAAGGUACCCAAAUAAUAAGCCCCCGCUAAAUUAGUG
rnacentral:rRNA from 1 species